CAUAGAGAAAAUAUAAACAUGCAUAGAGAAAACCUAAACAUGCAUAGAGAAAAUAUAAACAUGCAUAGAGAAAACAAACAUGCAUAGAGAAAAUAUAAACAUGCAUAGAGAAAACGAGAUGAUUCUGCAGAGCUUCUCUCAAUAUUUGUGGAUCUUCCACGCAUUCUCCUGCAUUAGUUGUUUUCAUGCGUGACGUAGGCUCAUCUUGGGUCUCUCUCUUUCUCUCUCUCUCUCUCUCUCUCUCUGUCUCUGUCUCUGUCUGUCUCUUCAGGGUAGAAUGACAUAAUCAUUAUAAACAUCCUGCAUAGUGCUUGGGUUCUCCUGCAGGGUAGAUUGACAUAUUAAUCUAACAUCUUACUCCAGCUACGCAGAUACAUAUAUAAACAUUUUAAUGCUUUCCAAAACAGUAACCUAAUAAUAAUAAUAAUAAUACAAUUCAAAGUACUUGGUGCUUGGACCCCUAAAAACUGCACAUAAUUCCAACCUUGUGUAUAUUCCGGUGUCCAGUGUUCCUGGGUUCUGGAUCCACCUCAUUUGUGACCAGGAUAAAGUGAAUGAAUGAAAGUGCACCGGACAGCCCGGAGUGCAAAAUUUGCAUCCCUGAUGGUUUCUGGAUGAACAUUAUCAUUACCAAUUCCAUGUUGUUAAAAGAAAAAAAAGAGAAAGAAAUGUGAGUGCAUCCUGUGCUAAAAUUUGACAAGAACGUCAGAAGCUACUCAGCUCAGAUGAUAGAAUGACUGUUGGAGGUUGUUAGAAUAUCACACUCACAAGAAGAGAUACGCGCUUUUGAACUGAUUGAAUUUAUUUUUAAUGUAAUUUAUUUAUUUACAAAGAUGCUCACUGUUAAUAUAAGUUGUACCAUAAUUAAAUGAUCCAAAAAGCAGCAUCUGUGGAAAAAGACAGCUUUUUUUAAGGGGGUGCAAACGUUUGCAGUCUAUUUCUUGGGAAAUUUUAGCCUUGUUCUAUCUAGGAUGCACUGAUGUAGGCCAAAGGUGUCCAAACUUUUAUCAGUGGGAUUAAUACCAGAGGACUGGUCAUGUAAAUAAAUUUGCAAGUGUAGUCAUCAAAAUGUAAUAUAUAUAUAUAUAUAUAUAUAUAUAUAUAUAUAUAUAUAUAUAUAUAUAUGUAUGUAUGUAUAUAUAUGAUGUGUGUGUAUUUUUUUCCAAAUGCAAAUAAUGAGAAUAUAAAUAAUAAAUAGAAAGCAAAAUGAGUGUGAAUCAAAAUGAAUCUUUUUUAAAAAUUCAUUUUGAUUGGACUCUCAUUAGAUGCAUUUGCAAAAAAAAAAAAUGUCAUGUAUUAAUACAUUUUAAUAUUAUACUUUUGGAUUUGAUUCUUUUAUGUGAAAUCUUUGGCACAAAAUUAAAAAAGGCUCUUGCAUUUUAGCUAACUGUGUUAGCGCAGUGUGCUGCCACCUUCAGGUGAAAGCUGAAAGAAAAUUGCACCAUGUUGGCCGGACAUACCCGUGGGCCAGUUAACAUUUGGAUUUGGCCCUGGGGCCAGACUUUGCAUGCCCCUGAUAUAGGCCAACAUACAAGCCAAAACUCAUGAGAAUGUUGAGGAGAGAAAAGAAAUUCCCAGAAACGUCUUCAGCAGGCAGAAUUCCGAAUUUGAUGAAAUACAAGGUAUGCAAUUCAUGCAUCCCUAACCACCCCUCCAUCCCCCACCCCAAGGGUGUAUCCCCUCACCUCUGUAAUAAAAGAUGUCAGAUGAAAUAUCUCGCCUAAUAGGGUUGAACUGUACAGCCUCCGAGCUCCUUCACCACUCCUUUUGUCCUGUAUUGGACCGAGGUACUAACGCUCCUUCUGUAACAGAUAUUUCGGAGAAGAGCCACAGUGCUGUCUUAUUUCUGUCCUGCAUGCUGUUUCUUUUGCAAAGCCGUCUGUUGUCUCUGUAAAGCAGGAACGCAGGAACGAGCCAUAUUUCUGUGCGCUUUGUAGUCGAAACACUACAAAGCAUUGUAUCCUGAGCCAUAUUCGAUGACGCAUUCAAUAUAACCUGCCCACAUUAUCUCCAUGUAAAUAAUAAAACACAGAGGAACGUGCUGUUUUAGGAAAUAAAUCAACAACAGGGUGGUGUCAUAUGUCCUGACACAAAACAGGGUUACUGUUACAACUCAGAAGUUGGUUAUUUUCCAAUAACAGCACGUCCCAAUGUGUUGUUUUGCUCGUAUACUAGAGCAAUUUGCCAACGUAUACAAUAUCGCCAACAAAAAUAUAAUCCGUAUAUGAUUGUUAACAAUUCUGUAAACUGUCAAAGAAAUUUAAGGGGACUAGAACAUGUAGAUUUGUAACUUGUUAAAACCUUUAAGCAAAUUAACUGUUUUAAAUUGUUAAAAUGUUUCUUACACUAUUAUUAUUAUUAUUAUUAUAAUAAUAAUAAUAAUAAUAAUAAUAAUAAUAAUAAUAAAGCCAUAUAUGCUUUCCUAAAAGAAAGAAAAAGAAAAUGGUAUCAUGUAAGACUACAGCUUGGCAAGUUAAAGACCAAUUUUUCAGACCAGUAUAUAACCAUCAAUGUUUUUAUGGGUAUUUAGCUUAAUUCUGUGAUUUGGUUUUUAUGGCCAUUGUGAGUUGAAUUCUUUCAAAAUCCCAAAACUGAUUAAAUGAAAGGUAAACAACUAACCAUCACAAAUGAGGAGAAUCCUAAAGUGGUUCUAUGCCUCUGGGAUCUUACAUUGAGAUGCUGGAUCAAUACUGUGUAAUGCAUUACAUAGAGCUUUAGAUGUACAGUAUUAGGUUGUUUUGGUGUCAUGUUUUGGUUUAUAUCCUAUCUUACAUGGCUUGUAAAUCAUGUUAUGCGGGGAUUUAAACCAUUCCCUAACUGCUAGAUGCUGUAUACAUAAUGCUGUAUGCUUGCAGCUAGCACUGCACCAAUCAACCAGGGAUAAAGGAAGGUCCUUCCUGCUCAGAUAGAAGGCUACAUGUGGCCUCCUGGAUCCAGGGCUAUGGAUGUUCACUGUGAUAUGAAUGUGCUAUCUCCCAACAAAAUAGCAUGCUCAGGUGCCCAGAUGGCCUUCCUUUUAAUAAAUAAGAGAAGAUCUAGAGAGCUCUGCAGAAUCUUGUGGUUUUUAUAUUUAUAAUCAUCUUAUACUGUUUGCAUCAUUCUAGCACAGGAAAACACGGACAACCAUUUCCAGUUCUCCAGCUUUUUAAACACGGUGCUCUGGGUAUCAAGGCAUGGGUAUUUAGACAC
ensembl:lncRNA